rnacentral:rRNA from 1 species
GACAGAGGAUGCAAGCGUUAUCCGGAAUGAUUGGGCGUAAAGCGUCUGUAGGUGGCUUUUUUAAGUCCGCCGUCAAAUCCCAGGGCUCAACCCUGGACAGGCGGUGGAAACUACCAAGCUGGAGUACGGUAGGGGCAGAGGGAAUUUCCGGUGGAGCGGUGAAAUGCGUAGAGAUCGGAAAGAACACCGAUGGCGAAGGCACUUUACUGGGCUAUUACUAACACUGAGAGACGAAAGCUAGGGUAGCAAAUGGG